AUUGAACGCUGGCGGCAUGCCUUACACAUGCAAGUCGAACGGCAGCACGGGAGCAAUCCUGGUGGCGAGUGGCGAACGGGUGAGUAAUAUAUCGGAACGUGCCCAGUCGUGGGGGAUAACGCAGCGAAAGCUGUGCUAAUACCGCAUACGAUCUACGGAUGAAAGCGGGGGAUCGCAAGACCUCGCGCGAUUGGAGCGGCCGAUAUCAGAUUAGCUAGUUGGUGAGGUAAAGGCUCACCAAGGCGACGAUCUGUAGCUGGUAUGAGAGGACGACCAGCCACACUGGAACGGAGACACGGUCCAGACUCCUACGGGAGGCAGGAGUGGGGAAGUUUGGACAAUGUGCGAAAGCCUGAUCCAGCAAUGCCGCGUGCAGGAUGAAGGCCGUCGGGUUGUAAACUGCUUUUGUACGGAACGAAACGGUGAGCUCUAAUACAGUUUGCUAAUGACGGUACCGUAAGAAUAAGCACCGGCUAACUACGUGCCAGCAGCCGCAGUAA
rnacentral:rRNA from 1 species